rnacentral:rRNA from 1 species
GGGUUGUGAGGUUAAGCGACUAAGCGUACACGGUGGAUGCCCUGGCAGUCAGAGGCGAUGAAGGACGUGCUAAUCUGCGAUAAGCGUCGGUAAGGUGAUAUGAACCGUUAUAACCGGCGAUUUCCGAAUGGGGAAACCCAGUGUGAUUCGUCACACUAUCAUUAACUGAAUCCAUAGGUUAAUGAGGCGAACCGGGGGAACUGAAACAUCUAAGUACCCCGAGGAAAAGAAAUCAACCGAGAUUCCCCCAGUAGCGGCGAGCGAACGGGGAGCAGCCCAGAGCCUGAAUCAGUGUGUGUGUUAGUGGAAGCGUCUGGAAAGGCGCGCGAUACAGGGUGACAGCCCCGUACACAAAAAUGCACAUGCUGUGAGCUCGAUGAGUAGGGCGGGACACGUGGUAUCCUGUCUGAAUAUGGGGGGACCAUCCUCCAAGGCUAAAUACUCCUGACUGACCGAUAGUGAACCAGUACCGUGAGGGAAAGGCGAAAAGAACCCCGGCGAGGGGAGUGAAAAAGAACCUGAAACCGUGUACGUACAAGCAGUGGGAGCACGCUUAGGCGUGUGACUGCGUACCUUUUGUAUAAUGGGUCAGCGACUUAUAUUCUGUAGCAAGGUUAACCGAAUAGGGGAGCCGAAGGGAAACCGAGUCUUAACUGGGCGUUAAGUUGCAGGGUAUAGACCCGAAACCCGGUGAUCUAGCCAUGGGCAGGUUGAAGGUUGGGUAACACUAACUGGAGGACCGAACCGACUAAUGUUGAAAAAUUAGCGGAUGACUUGUGGCUGGGGGUGAAAGGCCAAUCAAACCGGGAGAUAGCUGGUUCUCCCCGAAAGCUAUUUAGGUAGCGCCUCGUGAAUUCAUCUCCGGGGGUAGAGCACUGUUUCGGCAAGGGGGUCAUCCCGACUUACCAACCCGAUGCAAACUGCGAAUACCGGAGAAUGUUAUCACGGGAGACACACGGCGGGUGCUAACGUCCGUCGUGAAGAGGGAAACAACCCAGACCGCCAGCUAAGGUCCCAAAGUCAUGGUUAAGUGGGAAACGAUGUGGGAAGGCCCAGACAGCCAGGAUGUUGGCUUAGAAGCAGCCAUCAUUUAAAGAAAGCGUAAUAGCUCACUGGUCGAGUCGGCCUGCGCGGAAGAUGUAACGGGGCUAAACCAUGCACCGAAGCUGCGGCAGCGACGCUGAUGCGUUGUUGGGUAGGGGAGCGUUCUGUAAGCCUGUGAAGGUGUACUGUGAGGUAUGCUGGAGGUAUCAGAAGUGCGAAUGCUGACAUAAGUAACGAUAAAGCGGGUGAAAAGCCCGCUCGCCGGAAGACCAAGGGUUCCUGUCCAACGUUAAUCGGGGCAGGGUGAGUCGACCCCUAAGGCGAGGCCGAAAGGCGUAGUCGAUGGGAAACAGGUUAAUAUUCCUGUACUUGGUGUUACUGCGAAGGGGGGACGGAGAAGGCUAUGUUGGCCGGGCGACGGUUGUCCCGGUUUAAGCGUGUAGGCUGGUUUUCCAGGCAAAUCCGGAAAAUCAAGGCUGAGGCGUGAUGACGAGGCACUACGGUGCUGAAGCAACAAAUGCCCUGCUUCCAGGAAAAGCCUCUAAGCAUCAGGUAACAUCAAAUCGUACCCCAAACCGACACAGGUGGUCAGGUAGAGAAUACCAAGGCGCUUGAGAGAACUCGGGUGAAGGAACUAGGCAAAAUGGUGCCGUAACUUCGGGAGAAGGCACGCUGAUAUGUAGGUGAAGUCCCUCGCGGAUGGAGCUGAAAUCAGUCGAAGAUACCAGCUGGCUGCAACUGUUUAUUAAAAACACAGCACUGUGCAAACACGAAAGUGGACGUAUACGGUGUGACGCCUGCCCGGUGCCGGAAGGUUAAUUGAUGGGGUCAGCGCAAGCGAAGCUCUUGAUCGAAGCCCCGGUAAACGGCGGCCGUAACUAUAACGGUCCUAAGGUAGCGAAAUUCCUUGUCGGGUAAGUUCCGACCUGCACGAAUGGCGUAAUGAUGGCCAGGCUGUCUCCACCCGAGACUCAGUGAAAUUGAACUCGCUGUGAAGAUGCAGUGUACCCGCGGCAAGACGGAAAGACCCCGUGAACCUUUACUAUAGCUUGACACUGAACAUUGAGCCUUGAUGUGUAGGAUAGGUGGGAGGCUUUGAAGUGUGGACGCCAGUCUGCAUGGAGCCGACCUUGAAAUACCACCCUUUAAUGUUUGAUGUUCUAACGUGGACCCGUGAUCCGGGUUGCGGACAGUGUCUGGUGGGUAGUUUGACUGGGGCGGUCUCCUCCUAAAGAGUAACGGAGGAGCACGAAGGUUGGCUAAUCCUGGUCGGACAUCAGGAGGUUAGUGCAAUGGCAUAAGCCAGCUUGACUGCGAGCGUGACGGCGCGAGCAGGUGCGAAAGCAGGUCAUAGUGAUCCGGUGGUUCUGAAUGGAAGGGCCAUCGCUCAACGGAUAAAAGGUACUCCGGGGAUAACAGGCUGAUACCGCCCAAGAGUUCAUAUCGACGGCGGUGUUUGGCACCUCGAUGUCGGCUCAUCACAUCCUGGGGCUGAAGUAGGUCCCAAGGGUAUGGCUGUUCGCCAUUUAAAGUGGUACGCGAGCUGGGUUUAGAACGUCGUGAGACAGUUCGGUCCCUAUCUGCCGUGGGCGCUGGAGAACUGAGGGGGGCUGCUCCUAGUACGAGAGGACCGGAGUGGACGCAUCACUGGUGUUCGGGUUGUCAUGCCAAUGGCACUGCCCGGUAGCUAAAUGCGGAAGAGAUAAGUGCUGAAAGCAUCUAAGCACGAAACUUGCCCCGAGAUGAGUUCUCCCUGACUCCUUGAGAGUCCUGAAGGAACGUUGAAGACGACGACGUUGAUAGGCCGGGUGUGUAAGCGCAGCGAUGCGUUGAGCUAACCGGUACUAAUGAACCGUGAGGCUUAACCUUACAACGCCGAAGGUGUUU